GACGAACGCUGGCGGCGUGCUUAACACAUGCAAGUCGAACGGCGUGGCGAACGGGGGUGUUACACGUGGGUGAACCGACCCGCACUUCGGGAUUACCCUGGGGAAAUGGGUCUAAUACCGGAUAGUGUGGGAUGGGCCCGCGGCCUAUCGGCUUGUUGGUGGGGUAAUAGCCUACCAAGGCGGCGACGGGUAGCCGGCCUGAGAGGGUGGACGGCCACAUUGGGACUGAGACACGGCCCAGACUCCGACGGGAGGCAGCAGUGGGGAAUAUUGCACAAUGGGCGGAAGCCUGAUGCAGCGACGCCGCGUGGGGGAUGACGGCCUGCGGGUUGUAAACUCCUUUCACCAUCGACGCGGUAGAUGGAGAAGAAGCACCGGCUAACUACGUGCCAACAGCCGCGGUAAUUC
rnacentral:rRNA from 1 species